AUUGAACGCUGGCGGCAUGCCUUACACAUGCAAGUCGAACGGCAGCACGGGAGCAAGUCCUGGUGGCGAGUGGCGAACGGGUGAGUAAUAUAUCGGAACGUGCCCAGUCGUGGGGGAUAACGUAGCGAAAGCUACGCUAAUACCGCAUACGAUCUAUGGAUGAAAGCGGGGGAUCGCAAGACCUCGCGCGAUUGGAGCGGCCGAUAUCAGAUUAGGUAGUUGGUGAGGUAAAGGCUCACCAAGCCGACGAUCUGUAGCUGGUCUGAGAGGACGACCAGCCACACUGGGACUGAGACACGGCCCAGACUCCUACGGGAGGCAGCAGUGGGGAAUUUUGGACAAUGGGCGCAAGCCUGAUCCAGCAAUGCCGCGUGCAGGAUGAAGGCCUUCGGGUUGUAAACUGCUUUGUACGGAACGAAACGGUGAGCUCUAAUACAGUUUGCUAAUGACGGUACCGUAAGAAUAAGCACCGGCUAACUACGUG
rnacentral:rRNA from 1 species